GACGAACGCUGGCGGCGUGCCUAAUACAUGCAAGUCGAACGAGAGCGCCCGGUGCUUGCACUGGUCAAUCUAGUGGCGAACGGGUGAGUAACACGUGGGUAACCUGCCCAUCAGAGGGGGAUAACAUUCGGAAACGGAUGCUAAAACCGCAUAGGUCUUCGAACCGCAUGGUUUGAAGAGGAAAAGAGGCGCAAGCUUCUGCUGAUGGGUGGACCCGCGGUGCAUUAGCUAGUUGGUGAGGUAACGGCUCACCAAGGCCGUGAUGCAUAGCCGACCUGAGAGGGUGAUCGGCCACAUUGGGACUGAGACACGGCCCAAACUCCUACGGGAGGCAGCAGUAGGGAAUCUUCCGCAAUGGACGCAAGUCUGACGGAGCAACGCCGCGUGAGUGAAGAAGGUUUUCGGAUCGUAAAACUCUGUUGUUAGAGAAGAAUAAGUGCUAGAGUAACUGUUAGCGCCUUGACGGUAUCUAACCAGAAAGCCACGGCUAACUACGUG
rnacentral:rRNA from 1 species